CGCACAUUGCGCCUCUCGGUAUUCCGGGGGGCAUGCCUGUCCGAGCGUCAUUUCAUCCCUCAAGCGUAGCUUGGUAUUGGGCUUCGCCUCCCAACAGUGGGCGGGCUCGAAAAGCAUGGAGCGGUCCCGCAGGGCUUUGGACGUAGUAGAUUCUCUUCCGUCCUGAAGGCUCUCGCGGCGGCUUGCCUUGACCCUAUCUCUGACUGACCUCGGAUCAGGUAGGAAUACCCGCUGAACUUAA
rnacentral:misc_RNA from 1 species